UAUUCAAGAUGGACGGAAGGGAAUGCGGAGAGAAGAGAAGGCAGCCUUGCAGCGUGCCCGCCACUUUCAUGCCCGGGAAAAGCGGGGAGAAAUCCCGCAAAGUGUUCACUCCUGCUCCAGGGGGGGAGGCGCGAGACGAGGAGAAACAAAAGAGCUGCUGAAAGAAGGAUCCAAACCAAGACCUUGCUUUCUCUUUCUUCUACAAGGUUGCUGUUAUCUCCCAGAUUCCAUUUCUUUGAUUCUAGUCGCAAAGUUGUAAACUUACUGAAAUAUUUUUGUGGAAUUACGCAAGACCAUCAUAUGCUCCUGGACUUAAAUAUGAAUAUAUAAUACAUAAUUUCUACAUGGUUUGCAACCUGUAUGAAAAGGAGGAAUGUGUGGCUAUUCAGGUGGAGUUUUUGAGUCGUCUUCCAGAAACAUGUAAAAGGAGGGUCCAGCUGGAAGAAGACUACAGAAGGAAAUUGGACUGAUUUUGUGCAUAACAGUAGCUCAGUGUUCCACAGAAAACUUUCAAGGGAACGUAGACUUGGUAAAGUAAAUUCUAUUCAUCCUUUGUGAUCCUUCUUACCUUGAGAGAGAAGGUAGAGUGCCGGCUCUCUUAUUUCCACACAGAGAAGGAGCAGGGCCUUCAGAUACACCGAGCACGGCCCCCGUCCGAAGCUCUUUUCACAUUGUGCUACUGUCUGAGCCCAACCCAAGCAGUGCAAUGUAAAAAGGGCAUUGGGUAGGUGGCAGCAACAGCACGAAGCUUUCUCAGCCUCCACCAUUGGCCAAGUUCACGGGAGGGACACGGGGGGGGGGCUUGUUAUGUGUGAGGUAAAAGGGUUAAUCAUAGAUGUCCUAAAGGUGAGCAGUUGAUCCACCCCACCCCUUACAAUGGGGCUGUUCACCAUGAACUGCUGGAGGCCAAAUAGUACACAUUCCAGAGUGGUGGCUGAAGGAUGGCUUCUUCCUUAGAAGUCAUAUGUCACACUUAUCCAUCCUUCUUAUGAAGCUGAUGGAACAGCCUUCCUGUGUUUGAGAUAAGGUGUUUGUGUGUGUGUGUGUGUUCUCAUAGACAGGAUGUCAAAGUCUCUGGGAAAGAAAGCUCUAAAUAUUUCUACGCAGAGAACAUAUGGGCAGCUGUGCUGUGAACUUUCUAGAUUACAGUAAUUUUGCACAUGAGAUUCUGCAAUUUUCCCAGCUGUAAAUGGGAAGGAACAUAUAGGUGGGCAUUUUGUUGUUUAUUUGGGUCUCCUAAUGUUUAUCUAAUGGUACUGCUAUUUGUUUUUAAAUUAUUUCUUGGAUUUUUAAGGCCAUUGAGCAUUACUUCUCUGU